UAGGUAGUCUCAUGUUGUUGGGCUAUAUUAUUUCUCCCACAACACGAAACUGCCUUGA
ensembl:miRNA